GGGGGCGUUUUGGCUUCGACGGGGGUAAGUGAGGUUUGGUAAGCGAGCCGAGGGACGCAUGGAGCCUCGAUAAUAAAGUAUGCAAAAAGAUAAACGCAGAAGACAAUAAUUUUGCAUUAGCAGCUUAAUAUAAGCGCUCAUCAGUCCUGAAUGCCCACGUUUGGGGUAGCUGGUGUCAUAAAGUGGGAAACGAAGUCUAGCAAAGCUUUGAGCUAGAGGGGUAUUUAUGAAGCUAGUGAAUGGGACGUUUGUCUAUAGAUGUACCCAGGAGCGAAAUUUAAAUUAUAGACUACGCUCGUAGAAAGCUAGACGGAUCUACUUUCGGACAGGGGUUCGAUUC
rnacentral:tmRNA from 1 species